UACGUAGGGGGCAAGCGUUGUCCGGAUUUAUUGGGCGUAAAGAGCGUGUAGGCGGCCAGGUAGGUCCGUUGUGAAAACUGGAGGCUUAACCUCCAGCUGUCGAUGGAAACCAUCUGGCUAGAGUCCGGAAGAGGAGAGUGGAAUUCCUGGUGUAGCGGUGAAAUGCGCAGAUAUCAGGAAGAACACCCGUGGCGAAGGCGGCUCUCUGGGCCUUACCUGACGCUGAGGAGCGAAAGCGUGGGGAGCGAACAGG
rnacentral:rRNA from 1 species